AGCGAACGUUAGCGGCGGGCCUAACACAUGCAAGUCGAACGAGAAUGAGGGGGCAACUCCUCUAGUAAAGUGGCGGACGGGUGCGUAACACGUGGGUAAUCUACCUUCCGGCGGGGGACAACAGUCCGAAAGGAUUGCUAAUACCGCGUACGUCAGCGAGGUCUACGGAUCUUGUUGGGAAAGAUGGCCUCUCCUUGGAAGCUGUCACCGGAAGAUGAGCCCGCGGCCCAUCAGCUAGUUGGNGAGGUAUGCUCACCAAGGCUUAGACGGUAGCUGGUCUGAGAGGAUGAUCA
rnacentral:rRNA from 1 species